UAGAAACUGGACGUCUCAGUUUACGACGCUUGUCAUUCACAGUGGUCUUCCGAAUUCUGUUCCCUUAGAGGAUCCGAAGAAUCCGAUCAUACAACCAUGAAGUUCUCUACAUUAACAAACGUUUUAAUUCCGCUAAUUCUCUUCUUGGUAUCAUCGUCUGAAGCCAUGCAUAUCUUCCAUGGACUCUUUGGUGGUGGAAGAGGACGAAGUUCAGUUUCUGAAAUCCUCGUGGCUGGACUCAUAGCUAAACUACUAUCAGAAGAACACCAUUCAAAAUGCAGUUGGUGAUUAUUGUCUUCCCUAUGAGCAUUAUGAUUUGUCUCUUAAGAAUACCGGACAAAAUGGUCCCAAUUCAUCUUCAGUCUUUGUCAAUGAUUCCAGGACGUUCUCUCGUAAGUUCUUGACAUCAAGUAUCUGCGUGAGUGCGGCGGAUCAUAUGUUAUACAUUUGUAUGUCAUCCUGAUAAGUAUAUUUCCAUUGGAUUUUUAUGAUUUUUCAAACGUUGAUUUGGGGUAAUAUUCAUAUUUUUAUGUUGAUCCGCGACAUUUCAACUUCAAAAAUAUCCAGUAAUUGAGCAAAAUUUUUGCUGUGCCUUUGUCGUACGAAAGAAAGUAAAAUUGCUCAAAAUAUGAACUGCAGUUUCAUUUAAAUAUGAAUAUUAUGAAGUAUCAUUAUUAUAUUUAUGAAGUAUCAUGGACUGAUUAAAAUCGUUAAUCAUCUAUAUCAUCAUUUUAAAUAUUUCAGCAACGGUGAAGUAGUAGUUAUUUUACCGGGCAGUAGAAAUAAAUAAACUGUUGCAUUAACUAACAGAAAUAAUAAUAACUAACAGUUAAUAAUUUCUAAUAGUUAACAGCUUACUCCUGAAAUAUUAAGCUGCCACAAUUGAUGCAGAUCUUUGAUUAAUAUUUAACUGGUUAUAAGAAUAAUAACUGUUAAAUAUUGAAAUGCAAGUUAAUAUCUCAUUGGUACCAAUUAUGAGGUUGUAAUUAUCGUUGUUUUCCUUAAAAAACAAUUAAAAACGAACCCAUCGUAUCCUAGCAGCCUAAAUUCUGUGUCAAGAUUAUUUGUCGCUAACAUUUUACAUUUUACAUUACAAUAGAAAAUAUAUUUGUGCAUACCUCGAGAUAUGAUAUUUACUUUAUUUAUGUAUUUAUUUAUGUAUUUUUAAUACACUUUCAACAUAUCAGCUUCACAUAUCCGUUUUAAAUGCAGAUUUAUGUUUACAUAUUAAAAGGUAUUGCCUUAUGCGAGGUCAUCUUAAUUUCUUACCGUUUCAGUGAUAUGUAUAAUACAAAAUUUUGCUUAAUAAAUUCUUGACACAAAGAAGGUUGUUGUAUUACAGAGACAUUUUGAAUUACUUCUAGAAGAAAAUAUUGGGUGAUAGAACAUUAUUUGUGGAAACUAGAAAUUCUCAUGCAAUGCCAGUGCUACAGAAAAUUCAUAGCAUGAAAACUUUUCUACAUCUUAUGAUUAUUUCAAAUAUAAAGAUUAUGCCAAAUUACAAGCUUUGAGAUAAGAUAUAAGGUGUUUUAAAAAUAUUAAUAUGUUAAUAUGAAAAGCAUUUUACGUGCUUAUAUAUUUUCAAAAAUACUUGACAUCCUAAUUAACACUAACGCCUAAAUAGUUUAAUUUAUAUUUCUGUCAAAAUGAAUUCGUAAAAUUCGUAAAUAAAUUCAUCCUCAGUUUUUUUUAAAUCAACUAUUCUAUUAAAAUUUCUUAAGGUAUCGAGAAGUGCUUAAAAUUAGUGUAUUGAUAACAAAAAUCUAGCUGAGGCUUUGAAAUGUUAAUUUGUACAUUAAUAAAUGUGUGUAUAAUUUUUGUGAUAUUGGCGUAUCAACAUCAGCUUGUCUGUUGCCAUCAAUAAAUGUACUUUAUAAAAA